UGCAAGUCGAACGGUGUCUUCGGACAUAGUGGCGGACGGGUGAGUAACGCGUGAGAAUCUGGCUUAAGGACGGGGACAACCACUGGAAACGGUGGCUAAGACCCGAUAUGCCGAGAGGUGAAAGUAUUUAUAGCCUUAAGGGGAGCUCGCGUCUGAUUAGCUAGUUGGUGGGGUAAGAGCCUACCAAGGCGACGAUCAGUAGCUGGUCUGAGAGGAUGAUCAGCCACACUGGGACUGAGACACGGCCCAGACUCCUACGGGAGGCAGCAGUGGGGAAUUUUCCGCAAUGGGCGAAAGCCUGACGGAGCAAUACCGCGUGGGGGAGGAAGGCUCUUGGGUUGUAAACUCCUUUUCUCAGGGAAGAAAAAAAUGACGGUACCUGAGGAAUCAGCAUCGGCUAACUCCGUGCCAGCAGCCGCGGUAAUAYGGAGGAUGCAAGCGUUAUCCGGAAUCAUUGGGCGUAAAGCGUCCGCAGGUGGCACUUCAAGUCUGCUGUCAAAGGUCGGGGCUUAACUCCGAACARGCAGUGGAAACUGAAGCGCUCGAGUGCGGUAGGGGCAGAGGGAAUUCCUGGUGUAGCGGUGAAAUGCGUAGAGAUCAGGAAGAACACCGGUGGCGAAAGCGCUCUGCUAGGCCGCAACUGACACUCAUGGACSAAAGCUAUGGGAYCGAAUGGGAUUAKAUACCCCAUAUCCUAGCUGUAAACGAUGKAACUAAGCGUUGCUUGUAUCRACCCAGCCGWGCCKAARCYAWA
rnacentral:rRNA from 1 species